rnacentral:rRNA from 1 species
AGCGAACGCUGGCGGCAGGCCUAACACAUGCAAGUCGAACGAACCUUUCGGGGUUAGUGGCGGACGGGUGAGUAACACCUGGGAACGUGCCUUUAGGUUCGGAAUAACUCAGGGAAACUUGUGCUAAUACCGAAUGUGCCCUUCGGGGGAAAGAUUUAUCGCCUUUAGAGCGGCCCGCGUCUGAUUAGCUAGUUGGUUGAGGUAAUGGCUCACCAAGGCGACGAUCAGUAGCUGGUCUGAGAGGAUGAUCAGCCACAUUGGGACUGAGACACGGCCCAAACUCCUACGGGAGGCAGCAGUGGGGAAUCUUGCGCAAUGGGCGAAAGCCUGACGCAGCCAUGCCGCGUGAAUGAUGAAGGUCUUAGGAUUGUAAAAUUCUUUCACCGGGGACGAUAAUGACGGUACCCGGAGAAGAAGCCCCGGCUAACUUCGUG